CUGUAAAAUGGGGAUCAAGACUGAGAGCUCCCUGUGGGACAGGGACUGUGCCCAACCUGAUUAGCUUGUGUCCACCUCAGUGCUUAAAACAGUGCUUGGCAAAUAGUAAGCGCUUAACAAAUAUCAUCAUUAUUAUUAAGGGCCCUGUAUAGGCCCCCACUUUACAGUCAGCCCCGCGUCCCAGGGGCGAUGGAAAAAUAGGCCUCACGUCUGUAUUCUAAUUAGCCCACAGUAAUAAUCGGGGCAUUUAUUAAACGAUCGCUAAGCGUCGGGACCAGAGAGAGGACAGUCGGAUCGGAAGCGGUCCCCGUGCCACGUGGGGCUCAGGAUCUCCGCGGGAGGGGGAGUAGACGCUUUAUCCUGACGUCAUCGGCGUGGAAACUGAGGCACCGAGCUGUUAGGUGACUUUUCCGAGACCACCCGACAGGCCAGGGGCCCAGCAAGGGAUUAGAAUCUGGGCCUCCCCAGGGCCGUGCUCCGGCCCAACCUACACGGGGAUUCUGAGAAUUCCGGACUGAGUCUUUCAUUCGCUCAUCCGAUCGAUGGUAUUUACGGAGUCCGCGGAGUGACGGACCCAAAGGCCCCCCUCCGCCACGAGUGGCCGUUCUGACAUUCCUCUCGUUGGCUCUUUUGGAACGCGACCUAAAAUCCGAGGCGAAAACCACGGCCGGAAAAAUCCGGUGAGUGAACGACACGAUCCUCGGUUUACAGCAUCGCCGACGCUCCGCUUUCGGGAGUCCGCGCGUCUCCCGCCUCUCCCCCACCGUGUACGUUCUACCGAGACGCCGAACGGAUUCAGACCGCGAUUCAAUCCCGGCCCCACGCGGGACGCGAUAGAUCGAAAUGAAAACCGAGGGGGAGAGGCAAAGGGAGGCUAGAGCAGACGGGGUCGCGGCCGGGGCCGCUUUCCAGCGCUUGGAACGGUGCUGUGCGCACAGUAAGCGCUCAACAAACGCCAUCAUUAUUAUUGGAGCGGAUGCCAUCAGCCCGUCCGCUCCCACCCUACCUCCCUCAUCACAAGCCUCAGCCAGCUCGCGCCCACGUAAGGGCUAUUUUUAGCCAAAGUACGAUAAUUACUACGUGCUUUGGGAGAAAUCUAGAGGACCCCAAGCCACAGCAGUCUUCUACGACCUCUGAGACCUCCCGCACCACUCUGAGUUGGUUUUUCCCCGAGUUCCCUCCUCAGGCUCUGACCGACUGCAUUAUCCCAGCGAGGCUAUCAUCUGGUCGACAACAGAAAACUGUCGGCUGGACGGCAGGCGUCCGCCCCGUCAAUAGCCAGCCUAAGCUUUCUUCGUUCAAUCGCAUUUAUUGAGCGUUUACUGUGUGCAGAGCACUGUACUGAGCGCUCGGGAGAGGACGAUACAGCAAGGAACGACGAGCUCCGGCUCCGCUGAGGCCCCGCCGUCACCACCGCCAUCUGGCCGGACCCUUGGCUACUACAGUCAAAUGGGGUGGGUUUGUUCAACCCCUGAACAGAUCCGGACCCUCCAGCUGGGAAAGGCCGAGGGCUGAGAGGGGACGGGAUCCAGGCCUAGAAAAUCACCAAGAUCGUAGAAGGGGCGAGUACAAAAGUGAUUUUUUUCUUCAUCAAAUCCCACUCUAUGGGGUCGACGGAAGGGACCUCCGCUGAAGUGUCGAACAAAAGCAAGGAAACGAAUAAAAGUUGGUCCACGAAACUGUAAACGCCUCUUUGUUUCAAUAGCAUUUGUUAAGCGCUUGCUAUGUGCCAGGCACUGUACUAAGCGCUGAGGUAGAUACACUCUAAUCAGGUUGGACACAGUCCACGUCCCAUAUGGGGCUCACAGUCUUAAUCCCCACUGAACAGAAGAGGUGAUAAGCCCAGAGAGGUGAAGUGACUUACCCAAGGUC
rnacentral:lncRNA from 1 species